CAGGAAGUAUUCGCCGGGGUGUUUCUUUUGUGUCAGGGCACAGUAUAUGCAUCACAGGUACCACGAUGCUUUUCCUAUCGUGAGGAGUUAAUGACGGGAACACAGCGUUUACAGAUGCUGAAAACUGAGGUCCCAACAUCAGAGAAAACAUGAGAAGCCACACAACGAGGGAAGAGCUGCAAGGAACCAUAAAUGUGAAGAAGAUUUGGGCGGGGAGCCGGAUGAAGGAGGCACAAACCUAUGUAUCCAAGCGGUGCGGGACAAGGCGGUGGUGGCCACAAAACAAGAAAAGAAUCCCGAGAAGAUGUUGCUGAUCCCAAAGGCAAUGAAUUCCUAAGGCAGAGACCGGGUGGCAGUGAUGCGAGCACAUACAAUCUUUGCGAGACCCUCGCCAACCGUGUAAGGAAGAAUAAUAAGAAAGCAAACUCCCCAGACCACCCUGUCUGGUAGCCCCAAUUUAAUCUUUACCGUUAAAGGUGCUUGGAGGUCUUGAAAGGCAUUCAGGACUUGGGGCUCCACAGAGUCUAAGAGAGGCCUCACGGCUCUCAAUCAUUUUUAAGGUUGCUAAGGAAUAGUCACUGGUUAAAAUGCUGACUUCCCUUCCCGGCGAGUGGUGUAUCUGUAGCUCUCGCAGAAAGCAUUGUUCUGUUCGCACAUAAAGCGUUUCUUCUGUGG